UACGAAGGGGGCUAGCGUUGUUCGGAAUUACUGGGCGUAAAGCGCGCGCAGGCGGUCUUCCAAGUCAGUGGUGAAAGCCCGGAGCUCAACUCCGGAACUGCCAUUGAAACUGUGAGACUUGAGGAUGAGAGAGGUGAGUGGAAUUCCCAGUGUAGAGGUGAAAUUCGUAGAUAUUGGGAAGAACACCGGUGGCGAAGGCGGCUCACUGGCUCAUUUCUGACGCUCAGGCGCGACAGCGUGGGGAUCGAAACAGGAUUAGAUGAC
rnacentral:rRNA from 1 species